rnacentral:rRNA from 1 species
UCGCCCUUCGGGGUGCGCAGGCGCGAAAACUUUACAAUGCGGGAAACCGUGAUAAGGGAACUCCGAGUGCCCGUAAAAUCGGGCUGUCCAUCUGUUUAAAUAACAGGUGAAGAAAGGGCCGGGCAAGACCGGUGCCAGCCGCCGCGGUAAUACCGGCGGCUCGAGUGGUGGCCACUAUUACUGGGCUUAAAGCGUUCGUAGCUGGUCUGUUAAGUCUCUGGGGAAAUCUACUGGCUUAACCAAUAGGCGUUUCAGGGAUACUGGCAGACUAGGGACCGGGAGAGGUGAGGGGUACUCCAGGGGUAGGAGUGAAAUCCUGUAAUCCUUGGGGGACCACCUGUGGCGAAGGCGCCUCACCAGAACGGCUCCGACAGUGAGGGACGAAAGCUGGGGGAGCAAACCGGAUUAGAUACCCGGGUAGUCCCAGCCGUAAACGAUGCGCGUUAGGUGUAUCGGUGACCACGAGUCACCGAGGUGCCGAAGAGAAAUCGUGAAACGUGCCGCCUGGGAAGUACGGUCGCAAGGCUGAAACUUAAAGGAAUUGGCGGGGGAGCAC